CUCCAUUCCGAACUCAGAAGUGAAACGAAAUAGCGCCGAUGGUAGUGUGGGGUUUCCCCAUGUGAGAGUAGGACAUCGCCAGGC
rnacentral:rRNA from 1 species